GCUCUAUUAAAUGGAACAAGUUCGAGAGACAUUCCUAAAUGUCCAGACAACUCCACAGCGCGCAUUUCUCUCCAGCAGCGGGAAGAUUCAGAGACCUCGAGACUGAACACCCAAAUCUCGCUUUCCAGGACCCGAAGUACCGAACAAUAGGUCCCAAGCGGGCAGCGUCUGGGGACAGCGUGUUGGGCUGUGGGGAGGUUACCGAAAGGAAACGGGCCGAGUCCAGUUGUUUGAGCGGUUUUCUCCUUCCACGAGCGUGUGUGAAAAAGCGCGGAGUUCGGUGGAGGGCAGCUGCCAGGACUGCCUCCUGGACUGGGUGCGGUAAUUGUACAUUUUUUCAUCCUACAUCUCAAGAGACCAAGGGACCUAAGUAAAUUGAUCUACUUGCCAAUGACUGUAAGAAAGACAAAGAAGUUGUAAAAACAUCCAAAUGAUGUUAAACAUAAAUUAGCUCAGAAUAGUUUGCAGAAGAUAAACUACCAGCGUCAAAGCAUGCAUUAAAAACUGGAAAGAAAUUAAAAGUGUGGUAUUGAAAGAUGUACAACUGACUUUGGAAAAAGGAUUCCUCUCUAAUUGGUGUUUGUAAGUGAUCGAAAUAAACAUUUUUAAACUAUCA
rnacentral:lncRNA from 1 species